rnacentral:rRNA from 1 species
GACGAACGCUGGCGGCGUGCUUAACACAUGCAAGUCGAACGGGCCUUGUCCCCUUUUUUUUGGGGGUGGGGUUAGUGGCGAACGGGUGAGUAACACGUGAGUAACCUGCCCCUCACUUCUGGAUAACCGCUUGAAAGGGUGGCUAAUACGGGGUGUUCUGGCCUGCUCGCAUGGGUGGGUUUGGAAAGAUUCGACCGGUUUUGGUUGUUUUGGUUGGGGAUGGGCUCGCGGCCUAUCAGCUUGUUGGUGGGGUGAUGGCCUGCCAAGGCUUUGACGGGUAGCCGGCCUGAGAGGGUGGGCGGUCACACUGGGACUGAGACACGGCCCAGACUCCUACGGGAGGCAGCAGUGGGGAAUAUUGCACAAUGGGCGCAAGCCUGAUGCAGCGACGCCGCGUGAGGGAUGGAGGCCUUCGGGUUGUGAACCUCUUUCGCCAGUGAAGAAGGUCCUGCUCUUUGUGGUGGGGUUGACGGUAGCUGGGUUAAUGAAGCGCCGGCUAACUACGUG